UGUAUCUGAAGCCUGAAGAGGAUGAGAACCUCCGGGGGCAAGAGGUUCGACCCGAGCGAAGCGAGAAAAUGUUGCGUCAGCAACGGCCCGCAGGGCGAGCCAUCCUCUAUCACCGGCAG
rnacentral:sRNA from 2 species